rnacentral:lncRNA from 1 species
GUAAAUCGAGAUGCAUGCAAACUGAACGUACCCAUAAAACACACCGAGAACAGCAAAAGAAAGAAAAAUACCUUCUCCAUUGCUAAUAAUAGUUAUAUGAUUGAAAAUAUUAGCAUUUUCUGUAAUUGAAAUCACUUUCUUCUUUUCUUUUGAACUUUGAAAAGUUUGUUGGCUAAUUUUCCCCCAUGCAUAUUCAACUUCUUCUUCUCUCGUGACAUCUUUAAA